rnacentral:misc_RNA from 1 species
AAGUCGUAACAAGGUAUCCGUAGGUGAACCUGCGGAUGGAUCAUUAACACUAAAAAACAAAACCUUGCUUUCCUAAAAACAAAGCAUAACCCCAUAACUUUGCGAACUUGUCAACGGGAGGGGGAGGAGGAAGCAAUUUCUCCACCCCUUUUCCGUUCGUUUUUCUCCUUUUUCACCUUAUUAUUAAACCCCAAAACAAAAACAACAAACAAAACUUGACUAAGACAAAAACAAAUGAGAAAACAAAAUAAUACAACUUUUAACGACGGAUAUCUUGGCUCUC